rnacentral:rRNA from 1 species
UACGUAGGAGGCAAGCGUUGUCCGGAAUUACUGGGCGUAAAGCGCGUGUAGGUGGUGGGACAAGUCUGCUGUGAAAGCGCCUGGCUUAACCGGGCGAGGUCGGCGGAAACUGUUCGACUCGAGGACGGUAGAGGGGGGUGGAAUUCCCGGUGUAGUGGUGAAAUACAUAGAGAUGUCAUAGAACACCGAAUGCGAAGGCAGCUCACAAAACUGUAACUGACACUGAGGCUCGAAAGUGCGGGGAUCAAACAGG